GGGGGGGUCUGGGUGAUGUGGGGGGGGUCUGGGUGAUCUGGGGGGGUCUGGGUGAUGUGGGGGGGUCUGGGUGACGUGGGGGGGUCUGGGUGAUGUGGGGGGGUCUGGGUGACGUGGGGGGGGUCCGGGUGACGUUGGGGGGCGCAUACGAAGGGCAUGAAGGCAACG
rnacentral:lncRNA from 7 species